GUGCUCGCUUUGGCAGCACGUGUAUUAAAAUUGGAACGAUACAGAGAAGAUUAGCAUGGCCCCUGUGCAAGGAUGAUACACAAAUUCAUGAGGCAUUCCAUGUUUUU
rnacentral:snRNA from 1 species